AUUGAACGCUGGCGGAAUGCUUAACACAUGCAAGUCGAACGCCCCGCAGGGGGAGUGGCAGACGGGUGAGUAACGCGUGGGAAGCUACCCAGUUCUACGGAACAACUGAGGGAAACUUCAGCUAAUACCGUAUACGCCCUACGGGGGAAAGAUUUAUCGGAAUUGGAUGAGCCCGCGUUGGAUUAGCUAGUUGGUGAGGUAACGGCUCACCAAGGCGACGAUCCAUAGCUGGUCUGAGAGGAUGAUCAGCCACACUGGGACUGAGACACGGCCCAGACUCCUACGGGAGGCAGCAGUGGGGAAUAUUGGACAAUGGGCGCAAGCCUGAUCCAGCCAUGCCGCGUGAGUGAUGAAGGCCUUAGGGUUGUAAAGCUCUUUCAGUGGGGACGAUAAUGACGGUACCCACAGAAGAAGCCCCGGCUAACUUCGUGCCAGCCGCCGCCGUAA
rnacentral:rRNA from 1 species